CACUGUGCCCACAUCCUGCCCUUUGUAGCCUCCCAUCCCACCUUGUUGGUCUCUUCAGAAACUUUUUCCGUGCUCUCUGCUCUGUGUCCUAUCCAGGGUCCCCAAUGCCCUCCCACUGACAGUUCCUCAGGCCUUUCCUUCCAUGUCCCCCCUCAAUCCUUUGCCUUUCUUCCUGGCCACUGCAGCAGGAUGCCCCUGUACAACUACCUGACUCACACCACCCCCAAACCCUCUCUCAGUCCUGUCACUUUUGGCCUCACCCGUCCUUAUUCAUCUGUCCCCACCAAGCCCCUCCCUUGCACUCCCAUGUUCCUACACUGCAAUUCCUUUAUCCUCCCCUGUACCUUACACCGUGCUCCCUCCACAACCAAGCCCAGCCCACUGGACUCUCAAGCUAGCCCAGUUCAGUGUCUUUGGGUCUCCCCUUCACCUGAAACAGAUGUCCCAGGAGGCCCUGAAUUCUCAUCCCUUUGCCUCCACCCUGCUCCCUGCACCCGUGUUCCCCCUUAGCCCCACAAGGUCCAAUCCAGACUAAACUUUUGUUCUCCUUCCCCAGGCACUCCUGGAUGGAACCCAAGAUGAUCUCUGGGAGGAUUGGAAGUUGUGGCAACACUGGUGUCCUGAUCCUGGCAGUAUGAGGAGAUGAUCAUGCAUGGAGGAACGCUUUGACCCCUUUGAGCCCUGGGCCAUUUCCCCUGAACUAUCAAUACACCCUUGCAGCAUUUUGUGUCUGUGUAUCUGUGUCCAUGUGUAUUUUACAAUCAAAGUCCCCCAAAUUUCCAGGAGGUUUUCCCAGAGGUGUUGUCUUCUCCCUGUGUCUGUCAUUCUGUUACUGUCACCUCCACACAUCUCUGACCCCACUGGCACCUGCCAGGUUUGCACUGAAUGCCUCCCUCCUGCCCUCCACCUCCAGGAAUGACCAUGGCAGGGAGCUCAGAGCAGGAGCACCCAGGCCAGGGGUAAUGCCAGGAUAAGGAGCCCCUGGCAGAGGCAGGAGCAAUCCCCCAUUCCAGGGGGUUGUGGGGUGCAAGGGGGGCACCCGUGUCUCCUCCCAGCCCCAGGGUUACGAACCAGGGAGGAGAUGACUCAGCUGCCUCAGCUGAAUUGCUUCCCUCAGCCCUUGGCCCAAGAAGUAUCUGGCUGAAGCACAACCUCUAGAGGAAAGUUUCCACAAGGAAGAUAAAAGAACGGAAUUGUUUCUUCCCUCUCCCUCAUCCCUCCCCCUUGUGCUGAUUUUCUUGUCAGCUCUUAGCAAAAUCAACAAAACAACGUCUGUACUGAGGUGUUUCCCAGGGUGAGUUCCUACAUAGGGCCAAAGGAAGGUUUUCUGCCAGGGCAAAAAGGGAGAAAUGUGGGAUUUGUUCAGACAGUUGAAAACAUGGCAAUUUCUAAGCACUGGAAAUCCGGAGGCUAUAAAAAUAGAAUUUGCAGUUUUAAUGGUCCAUUGUCCUCCCUCUUCCCCCUGCUGACUUGUCACAUCCCAACUGCAGAGGAGUAGAUUAUGGAAAGAAGGCCUGCAGGGAGUUUUGGAGGCAUAAUGCCAGAGACAGGAAGAAAGGGUGAUAUCGGGACAAGAUUUCCAGUUGUUUUCUUAUCAUAAUGACCACAAAUAGCUCUGUAGUCCAUGUGCAAUAUCCAGAUGAAGAGGCACAUUCCUCGUUUUUAAUGCUAAAUUGCAGUAUUUUGGAAAUUCUUCCUGGAUUAGAACAAACCACAGGCCAAUAAUUGACCCACUUUGGUUCCCAAAUCAGAAAUCAUGAAACUUUUACCAAGAUGUCUUUCUCUGCAGGACAGAAGGCAAUUUGAUUCCUUUUGUUCCAAGUUUCUCCUGAGUUCAUGACUUCAGAUGAACUGGAAUGGUCAAGACAGCACAAAAGUGGCCACAACAGUGAGCAGGAUCAAACCCCCAAGUCACCAUUAUAUGCACUCGAUUCACACCUCCCACAGCCCAGCAGCAAUUCCUGCCUCUGCCCCCAUCUCUGGGUCAGUCUGACGGGCAUCCCUCUGGUGUGCAGGGCUGGCUUCUGCAGGACACACUGCUCGGAGCCACUCUGUGUCCCAUAGCUUUGGCAUCUCAGGAGCCGCUCCACAGCUGUGGGGCCUGUGCCACCACUAGUCCAUGGCUGUAGUUCCUGUUCCACCACUGUUCUGCCUUUUCCAUGGUCACUCCACUGCUGCUCAAAAGCUGUGUCGUGCUGUUUCAGCACGGUUCCUCUGCUCCACCACCACUGCUCCACUGCUUCUCUGACACUGCUCAUCUACCACUGUUCCACCGCUCCUCCUCUGCUCCUCCCCUGCUCCUCUGUUGUUCCAUGGCUGCUGCUUCUGUUCUAGUGCUGCUGCCACAGCUGCAGAGUCACAGAGAGGGGAAUGUUCAGGCAGCAAUUGCUGUGGUGUCACAUAGACCAGGACAAUGGGGCUGCCAAUGUUGUGGUGUCACAGAGAGGGGAACACUGGGGCUGCCAGGGCUGUGGUGUCACAGAGGGGGGAAUGUUGGGGCUGCCUAGGCUGUGAUGUUUUAGAGAGGAGAAUAUUGGGGCUGCCUCUACCGUGGUGUCACAGAGAGGGGAAUGUUGUGGCUGCCACCACAGUGAUAUCACACACAUGGGAAUGCUGGGGCUGCCAGUGCUGUGUUGUCAUAAUCAGGAGAUCAUUGGGGCUGCCUAGGCUGUGAUGUCUUAGAGAGAAGAAUAUUGGGGCUGCCUCUACCGUGGAGUCACAGAGAGGGGAAUGUUGGGGCUGCCAAAGCUGCAGUGUCACAGACAGGGGAUGCUGGAGCUUCCACUGCUGUGGUGUCACAGAGAGGGGAACUUGGGGCUGCCACAUCCAUGGUGUCACAGAGAGGGAAAUGUUGGGGCUGACACUGCUCUGGUUCCCCCUCAGACAGGGGAACGCUGGGGCUGCCAAUGCUGUGGUAUCACAGAGAGCGGAAUGUUGGGGCUGCCAUCCUUGUGGGGUCAAAGACAGGAGAACCUUGGGGCUGGUCCCCCUGUUUUGUUAUAGAAAGGGUAAUCUUGGGGCUGCCACCGCUGUGGUGUCAUUCAGAAGUCAAUGUUGGGACUGCCAACGCAAUAGUAUCACAGAGAGGGGAAUGCUGGAGGAGCCACUGCUGUCAUGUCAUAGAGAGGGGAAUAUUGGGGCUGCCACUGCAGUGCUGUCAUAGAGAUGAGAAUGCCGGGGGUGCCACUUCUGUGGUGUCACAGAGAGGGGAACACUGGGGCUGCAAAUGUUUAUGUGUCACAGAGAGGGACAGUGGCAGUUUGAACUGCCACUGCGAUGCUGUUAUAGAGAGCAGAAUUUUGGACAGCCACCCCUAUAGUGUCAUAGAGAGGGGAACUUUGGGGCUUCCACAGCUGCAGUGUCAUAAGGAGGGGAAAGUUAUGGCUUCAACCACUGAGGAAGAGGAAGAGGAAGAGGAAGAGGAAGAGGAAGAGGAAGAGGAAGAGGAGAGACUAAGAAGGAUCAGGGAAAGGAGAAGGAACCACAAAGUGGAGCACUCUCUGAAUUUCCCGCCAUGGGAUUAUCACCCUCCAUCCCGAAGGUGACCAGGGAAGGAUUCCCUAUUCCCAAACAUUUGCUGCAUGGAGGAGAAGGCUGUGAGGAAGAUGAAGAUGCUGGUCUUAGGUUGCGAGAUGCCGAACUCAUGGGCACCAAAUGGCAUAGGUACAACUUUGAAGGCCAUGGGGACUGUGGGCCCAUCAUUUCAGCUCCAGCCCAGGAUGAUCCCAUCCUGCUCAGCUUCAUCCCCUGCCUGCAGGCCAACCUGCUGUGCAUGUGGCACUGGGACAUCAAACCCGACUGCGAGGAGCUCUGGAUAUUCUGGUGGGGGGACGAGCCCAACCUGGUCAGUGUCAUCCACCACGAGCUGCACAUUCCUAGGGCAUGCCUGGCUGAACCUCAUCAAGAAUUACAAUUUUAUCAGGCUGAGAUAAAGCUCAGUGGAAAUGCAGCCCUCGGUGAGCGUGGCAGGGAGCUCCAGGACAGGACACCUGGGCACCGGACCAUGAAAGCCUGAGAGGGAACAGCCAGCAAAUUACUGUCUCUGCAGGAAGUCUGGAAUGUUUCAUUCUAUUUCUUUCACAUAUUAAUGUUGCAUUGACAGCUGCUCAAGCUUAAAACAUCUUUAACUGAAAGGUUAAACGAGAGACAUGGGAAGAUCCCAAAGAAAAGGUUCAUCUCUCUUUAUAGUCAUGUCAUAUGGGUUUGUGUUACCCAGUGGCAAGUCUUUCUAGAUGCAAUUUAUUCACAGUGAGUACUUGAAGCUUCUUGUAUCCCUUACUUCCUUUUAUUUGUGCAAGGCUGUUCAAUACAACAUCUGCAUCCAUGCUUCCUAAUAGCUUCAUCUGUGGAUCUCUGUAAGUGGGUUUUUUUGCAUUGUAAGAUGUACACAAAAGGUUUGUUGUUGAUUACACAUAUAAUUUCUUACAAGUCAACACUGCUGUUGUAAAGAGGUUCUAUAGCAAAACAUAUUUUGAACUGUUUUUUUCAGGCACCAACUUUCCUUUCAGUUUAAGACAUGGUUUUAAUUAUAAAUAAAAUUAAAUUAAAUUUUGAUUAUAAUGUAUAAAAUAUUUGGUUUUUUUCUUAAAAAAACACCCAAACAACAACAAAGGAAAAGCAUACACAAUCCUUUAGCUUUAAUGAAUAACUGAAUAAUAUGGGUCAGGAGAGGAGCUUCAUGAAAUACAUAUUAUAGAAAAAUGACUUGCUCUCCCAUCCAGCGUCAGAGCAGCCAUCUGAGAUAAUUCCUUUAUUUUUUUUGGCCAUGCAAAACUAUAAAAGCUAAAGAAAACUGCAAAAUAAAGGAAAAUCCAACACAAAUAAUGUUUUAGAGAAAGCCAGAGUUAAUACUUUUUCAAAAUAUCACCCAUUUUCCAGGAAGACCCAAUAAACUGGUGUUUUUUAAGCCCAGACAGCCAGUUUUGGUGAGACAGCUAUGAGAAGUGCCUGGAAUCCCACACUCAAGGUGCAGUUCUGUGGGAAAUGGAUUUGUAAAGAAUUCUCAAAACCUGAUAGAAAGUUCACAUAGUCUUGUACAUCUGUAUGUAAACACUGAGAUAAGGUGUGUUGAUUUAGGAAGGCUCUAGAAUAGAGAUGACAUUGUUGAGAGAGAGACUGAACAAGAAAUAACUUUUAAUAAGUUUCAUAAGUUUAAUAAGUUUCAAAAUAUGCCCUUGUGAAAAGACUAGAUAUUUUAGAGAAUUAGAACUGUGAAAGAUGGAUUGUAGUAGGAUCACCUGAGGUAAAAAUAUAGGUGAUUGGUGUUAGAAGCAUUGUGUUGUAAAAGCUAAUAGGCUGAAAAGUGUUUACAAGCAUUUUAAUUGAUGAAAUACGGCUUCCUAAGUCAUCACACCUUAACUCAGUGUUUGCACAGAGAUGUACAAGACUGUGUGAGCUUUCUGCCAGGUUUUGAGAAUUCUUUACGAAUCCACUUCCCACACAGUUCUUGUCUUGUUUUUGCAGUGGAGCAACAGAUAAGCCGGGGCUUAGAUCUGACCUAAAGCUUGGGCUUAGGCUGACCUAGGUGAGGUGUGAGGGCAAAGGGAGAUGAGAGGUGGCCUGGCUGGAAAAGAACACUGGUACACACAGCAUGGAGCCAAGCAUGGCUGUGGGCAAGGUCAGAAGGGAAAAGAAAUAAAAAUAAUUACCAGCAGAAAUGUGAUGGGACGGGAGAGAAAAAAACUUCAGGUUUUUGGCAAUUCCGGUGCCUGAGGGUGAAGCUGUCAGUGCACCUCAAGAUCUGUGCACAGCCAGGACAGAGCUGCUUUGAGUUUCAGCUGUGAAAUACUGUGUGGUGUGCCAGAGUGAACUGGGGAACGGAGGGACAAGGAUUUCAGGGAACAAGUACCUGCUCUUUAGGGAGAAGAGCUGAGAGACUGCACCUUAAACUUCAUUUCUCCUUAGUGUGUGUGCAGGGUGAUGUGCUGUUCUGUGCACAUCUGUGCUGUUCUGUCUUACGGGAACUAAUACCAUGCUUGCUGUCAGUUUGGAGAUUUCAUACUGUUCCACCCCCACCCGUCAGAACAUUUCAUUACAUCUCUCAGGCAAUAGAAAGGACUUUUUGAUUAUUAGGUAAGUCAUUAUAUUAUUAGAUAUGUUUUUGAAUAUAUGGGCAGAGCUGUCAUUUUAUAAGUCUGUCAGAUGGCAGAAAACAACAGAGAAUAAGGGGAAAAACAUCAAUUCCUACCUCCAUAUAGCUCAUAUUGCUAAACUAGUUACCCCCCACUUGUAACUGGGAAUUUAGAAGUGUGAGUAUUGCUAAAAAAAGCCUUGGCACUGCUUACAGCAAACUUCAGGGGCCAUUUGAAAGCUGUGGGCAAUCCAGGACAUCCUACACUGGAAAUUUGGACAGAUAUCCCAAAAAGCCUUGGGCUUAACACCAAGUUCUGCAUUUCCAGUCUGCACUCACUGCUGGAAAAUGGAUAUUUGCAGAGCCUGAGCUACAGUGUCUUUGUAAGUUAAGCAAUAAAUAAAAAUUUAAUUCAUAAUCUUGGUGUAUUCUUCAACUCAGAAUUAAAAUUUUCAUGUCUUUUCCACUUGUAGAUCUACUUCUACCACAGUCAGUGAUGUUAUAUCACUGCAUAAAGACAUCUCUUACCAUUGUAUUUUACAAGGCAACUGAGUGCCAGUGUCACUAUGCAGAGUCCCUUGGCAAUUGUAGAGACAUCUCCUCCAGAAUAUGGAAAUAUUCACUUGUGCAUGUGCAUUUUCCUGGAAGCUUAUCCCCUAGAACUUUUAAAUUAAUGCUCUAUUCUGAUCACCAGGUGUGCAAUUUGGCAAUGUCCUGUUGUAUACAUUGAGUGUGAAGGCACACAAGAGAAAAUGUGACUCCCCAUCCUGUGAAGAAGUUUUCUGUAUGUGAGAUAUUAGGACCUGAGUUAGUUUACACUGACUCAGGGGCAGAACAGAAUCCUGUCAGAAGGUGACACAGAAUGGAUUCUGCAGGGUAAAGCCAUUUCCAAAAGAUCUGCUCCACAUCUUCUCCAUACUAAGACUCUGACAGCCGUACAUUGCAACACAUCUCUCACCACAAGAAGCACUAUUUCAUUCCAGAAACAUUCCAUCCCGCACUAAAGGAUGGCACUGAGAAACUUCACUGACUGUCCACCUAAAUUUCUCUUCUUAUUCCACUGUUUUACAUGAUGGUUUUGGUCUCCUUAAUGCCAUCUCACAGAUUUAGACAAGAAUUCUUUUACUCACUAAGAAGUCAAAUAAGGGGCUAAUUUUUUGCAGGCAGUGCAAAAACAUACACUGGAAACAUACACUGCACCAGAUAUUCCUAUCAAAAGCAGAUAAACAUGAAUAGAUCCUAGAUCAAACAAGGGAUUCAGGGUACUUGCGGUUCAGUUGUUUUGGUUUAACUAUCAGCUUGUCUACAGGAACAAAUCAGCUGUGAAUACUAAAAGUUCUUAGCAGAGACUUUUUUCCUGGGCCUGUGCAAUGCUCUAAAUUUAUUUUUGUCCCUUACCACAAUAUUUCCUGUAAGUUGACCAGACUGUAUCACAGAAACUCCAGGCAGAAAAUUGAUGAACAUCAAAAAUCCAUGGCUAAAGCCUCUCCCUCAGCUCUGGAGCCACCACACAUGCUGUUGAUACAGCCUUUUGUAAGGAAGGGGCAUGGUACCACCACAGUGAUGUUUCCAUAACCAAGGUGCAGAUGUGAGAUGAAUGGCCAGGAUGAAUCCCAAGAUGAAGGAGUGCCUCAAGAGUAAAGUAAACUGCAAAUCACCAGGAAAAGAAAGAAAAAAUACCCAGUACUAAAAAUAUUGCAAGUGCCUGAGGCGUAAGUCAGAGCAAGCCUCCAUUAUCACUGCAGAGACUUGGCAACUUUGCUCAUUAGGCUUCCUAGGAUCUGACUGAGUGACCUUGUUUGGUGGGAAGGCACAGAUGGAGUCUGUCAGUAAAUCUUGUUCAUGUAGCAAGUAUUCCUGCUGCUAGAUGAGGUUUGCACCUCGUACGAGUGUUUCUAGCCCCAGUAAACAACCACUGUUCCCUCCUCCCAAUGUCAGCCCCUUAUUUCAUCCACCAGGUACUCCAGCACUUCUUUUUACUGUCAAUUACCAAAAAGAAAGAGAACAUCUCGCUGUGAGUGUAGGAUGAUCUUUCUCUCAAAGGCAGUUGUGCACCUCACUUCUAGAGAACCUGAUGUUUGCUUUUACAUUUGGUUGUUACCUGAUAGACCCUAAGGCUUUCUUCUGCUGUGAGUCUGUUCCUGAGCUUGAGAAAUAAUUCUAUGAUAGGAGUGCAGUUUUUUACUAAAGUCAUACUCACACCGUUGUACUAUACAAUAUAAAUAACUAAUAUAUAAGUAAUAAAUAAAAGGUUUAUCUAUGAGCCAAUUUUAAGUGGUUUAAAAUUUCAGGAUGUAGCCUAUUUAGUUUCAGUGAGAAAAUAAAAAGCUGCUUUUAAAGUUCAUUCAGCUUCUAAAGGGCAAUGCUAAAAAUGUGACACCACCUUGGUUCAGUGAAUGCCUUUGGGUAAAAGAAGAGGGAUACAAGAGUAACUGAAAUAUUUAAGUAAAAUUCAGUGUUGUGACCCUGAACACCAGGACAAAAUUCACAUUGUAUAAGCCAUAUUUCUAAGUGCAAUAAACCAUAUCUAUAAGUGA